rnacentral:rRNA from 1 species
GGGUGAGUAACACGUAUGCAACCUGCCCCUGUCAGGGGGACAACCCGCCGAAAGGCGGGCUAAACCCGCGUACAUGCCACCGGGGCAUCCCGGAGGCAGGAAAGGCUUCGGCCGGACAGGGAUGGGCAUGCGGCGCAUUAGGCAGUAGGCGGGGUAACGGCCCACCUAACCGACGAUGCGUAGGGGUUCUGAGAGGAAGGUCCCCCACACUGGUACUGAGACACGGACCAGACUCCUACGGGAGGCAGCAGUGAGGAAUAUUGGUCAAUGGUCGGGAGACUGAACCAGCCAAGCCGCGUGAGGGAGGAAGGUACAGAGUAUCGUAAACCUCUUUUGUCAGGGAACAAAGACUGGGACGCGUCCCCGGAUGAGUGUACCUGAAGAAAAAGCAUCGGCUAACUCCGUGCCAGCAGCCGCGGUAAUACGGAGGAUGCGAGCGUUAUCCGGAUUUAUUGGGUUUAAAGGGUGCGCAGGCGGUCUGUUAAGUCAGCGGUCAAAGCCCGGGGCUCAACCCCGGCCCGCCGUUGAAACUGGCAGUCUCGAGUUGGAGAGAAGUAUGCGGAAUGCGCGGUGUAGCGGUGAAAUGCAUAGAUAUCGCGCAGAACUCCGAUUGCGAAGGCAGCAUGCCGGCUCCACACUGACGCUGAGGCACGAAAGCGUGGGUAUCGAACAGGAUUAGAUACCCUGGUAGUCCACGCAGUAAACGAU